rnacentral:rRNA from 1 species
AGUGAACGCUGGCGGUAGGCCUAACACAUGCAAGUCGAACGGCAGCAUAGGAGAGCUUGCUCUCUGGGUGGCGAGUGGCGGACGGGUGAGGAAUACAUCGGAAUCUACCUUUUCGUGGGGGAUAACGUAGGGAAACUUACGCUAAUACCGCAUACGACCUACGGGUGAAAGUGGGGGACCGCAAGGCCUCACGCGAUUAGAUGAGCCGAUGUCCGAUUAGCUAGUUGGCGGGGUAAUGGCCCACCAAGGCGACGAUCGGUAGCUGGUCUGAGAGGAUGAUCAGCCACACUGGAACUGAGACACGGUCCAGACUCCUACGGGAGGCAGCAGUGGGGAAUAUUGGACAAUGGGCGCAAGCCUGAUCCAGCCAUACCGCGUGGGUGAAGAAGGCCUUCGGGUUGUAAAGCCCUUUUGUUGGGAAAGAAAUCCUAUCGGUUAAUAACCGGUGGGGAUGACGGUACCCAAAGAAUAAGCACCGGCUAACUUCGUGCCAGCCGCCGCCGUAA